UCAUACCGCCUGCGUUGAACUCUACCUCUGAAAACUGUCUCUGGUUGUUGCAUGAUGAAAGUAAUUAACUAAGUAGUUAGUAAUUAUCCUGUUUGUCAGUAUCCAAUAUGUCUUAGUUAGUUACUAAAAACAACAAGAGUGUCUGCAAAGAAUCAAGAAGGGGGGAGCAAACAAAAUAAAGAAGAAAAUUAAAGAAGAGAA
rnacentral:lncRNA from 1 species